rnacentral:rRNA from 1 species
AUUGAACGCUGGCGGCGUGCUUAACACAUGCAAGUCGAGCGGUAACAGGCGUAGCAAUACGUGCUGACGAGCGGCGAACGGGUGCGUAAUACAUCGGAAUCUGCCUAGUAGUGGGGAAUAACCCGGCGAAAGCCGGGCUAAUGCCGCAUACGAUCCACGGAUGAAAGCGGGGGACUUUCGGCCUCGCGCUAUUAGAUGAGCCGAUGUCGGAUUAGCUAGUGGUGAGGUAACGGCUCACCAAGGCGACGAUCCGUAGCUGGUCUGAGAGGACGGCCAGCCACACUGGGACUGAGACACGGCCCAGACUCCUACGGGAGGCAGCAGUGGGGAAUAUUGGACAAUGGGGAAACCCUGAUCCAGCGACGCCGCGUGUGUGAAGAAGGCCU